rnacentral:rRNA from 1 species
GAAAGUCGAACGCUCGCGGCGUGCCUAAUACAUGCAAGUAAGAGCGGAGUUUUGAAAAGCUUGCUUUUCAAAACUUAGCGGCGGACGGGUGAGUAACACGUGGGCAACCUGCCCUUGAGACGGGGAUAACUCCGGGAAACCGGAGCUAAUACCGGAUAACACAUAUCUUCGCAUGAGGAUAUGUUAGAAGGUGGCUUUUAGCUACCACUCAAGGAUGGGCCCGCGGCGCAUUAGCUAGUUGGUGAGGUAACGGCUCACCAAGGCGACGAUGCGUAGCCGACCUGAGAGGGUGAUCGGCCACACUGGGACUGAGACACGGCCCAGACUCCUACGGGAGGCAGCAGUAGGGAAUCUUCCGCAAUGGACGAAAGUCUGACGGAGCAACGCCGCGUGAGUGAUGAAGGUUUUCGGAUCGUAAAGCUCUGUUGUUAGGGAAGAACAAGUACCUGUUAAAUAAGCAGGUACCUUGACGGUACCUAACCAGAAAGCCACGGCUAACUACGUGCCAGCAGCCGCGGUAAUACGUAGGUGGCAAGCGUUGUCCGGAAUUAUUGGGCGUAAAGCGCGCGCAGGCGGUUCCUUAAGUCUGAUGUGAAAGCCCACGGCUCAACCGUGGAGGGGUCAUUGGAAACUGGGGAACUUGAGUGCAGAAGAGGAGAGCGGAAUUCCACGUGUAGCGGUGAAAUGCGUAGAGAUGUGGAGGAACACCAGUGGCGAAGGCGGCUCUCUGGUCUGUAACUGACGCUGAGG